UAGCGGAGCGUGUGGUUUAAUUCGAUGCAACACGAAAAACCUUACCAAGGCUUGACAUGCUAGUAGUAGGAACCCGAAAGGGGGACGACCGGCCUUCGGGCUGGAGCUAGCACAGGUGCUACAUGGCUGUCGUCAGCUCGUGCCGUGAGGUGUUGGGUUAAGUCCCAUAACGAGCGCAACCCCUGUUCUGUGUUGAUUUCUCACAGGAGACUGCCCAGGAAUUCUGGGAGGAAGGUGGGGAUGACGUCAAGUCAGCAUGGCCUUUAUGCCUUGGGCAAACACACACGCUACAAUGGGUGGUACAGAGGGCAGCUAAAGAGCGAUCUGGAGCUAAUCCCACAAACCCACCCCCAGUUCAGAUUGCAGGCUGAAACCCGCCUGCAUGAAGUUGGAGUUGCUAGUAACCGCAUAA
rnacentral:rRNA from 1 species